CUUACGGGUGGCUGCAGUGGGGAAUAUUGGACAAUGGGCGAAAGCCUGAUCCAGCCAUGCCGCGUGUGUGAAGAAGGCCUUCGGGUUGUAAAGCACUUUCAGUGGGGAAGAAAGCCUUGGGGCUAAUACCCUCGAGGAAGGACAUCACCCACAGAAGAAGCACCGGCUAACUCCGUGCCAAGCAGCCGCGGUAAUACGGAGGGUGCGAGCGUUAAUCGGAAUUACUGGGCGUAAAGCGCGCGUAGGCGGUCUGAUAAGCCGGUUGUGAAAGCCCCGGGCUCAACCUGGGAACGGCAUCCGGAACUGUCAGGCUAGAGUGCAGGAGAGGAAGGUAGAAUUCCCGGUGUAGCGGUGAAAUGCGUAGAGAUCGGGAGGAAUACCAGUGGCGAAGGCGGCCUUCUGGACUGACACUGACGCUGAGGUGCGAAAGCGUGGGUAGCAAACAGGAUUAGAUACCCCAGUAGUC
rnacentral:rRNA from 1 species